AUUGUUGAUGACAUGCGCAGUGCCAGGGAUGUUAUCCACAAACAAGCUUACGUUUUUCACGUUCUUUCUAUCUGCCGGUGUAGUUUCAUUGAAGAGGUUCCAAAUGAAAUUUGUGGCGUUUCCCAUUUUUUGCUGGGUGUAGUUCACACCCAGCUUAUUUUUGAAGCGCAUACCGCCGGGGGUGUUUGGAGCCCGGUUAACGACGGCGUAGUGGACAGCAUGAGCCCCAUGCAAGGAUGCUAGGGCAAGGAGAGAGGCGAGCAUGAAAGAAAAGAGAAAACGAGCAGCAGCCAUACCCGUAGUGUGUGUUUGUAAU
rnacentral:lncRNA from 1 species